rnacentral:rRNA from 1 species
CAAUAAGCGGAGGAAAAGAAACUAACAAGGAUUCCCCUAGUAACUGCGAGUGAAGCGGGAAGAGCUCAAAUUUAAAAUCUGGCGGUCUUUGGCUGUCCGAGUUGUAAUUUAGAGAAGCGUCUUCCGCGCCGGACCGUGCACAAGUCUCCUGGAAUGGAGCGUCAUAGAGGGUGAGAAUCCCGUCUUUGGCACGGACCCCCCGGGGCUUCUGUGAUGCGCUCUCGAAGAGUCGAGUUGUUUGGGAAUGCAGCUCAAAAUGGGUGGUGAACUCCAUCUAAAGCUAAAUAUUGGCGAGAGACCGAUAGCGAACAAGUACCGUGAGGGAAAGAUGAAAAGCACUUUGGAAAGAGAGUGAAACAGUACGUGAAAUUGUUGAAAGGGAAACGCUUGGAGUCAGUCGUGUCGGCCGAGACUCAGCCUCGCCUUGGCUUGGCGUACUUCUCGACCGACGGGCCAGCAUCAAUUUUGUCUCUCGGAUAAUGGCAAGGGAAAGGUGGCACCCUUUUUGGGUGUGUUAUAGUCUCCUGUCGAAUGCGAGGGGUGGGAUUGAGGGACUCAGCACGCGCCCACUCGGCGUCGGGGCUUCGGCCCACGUUUACGUGCUUAGGAUGCUGGCGUAAUGGCUCCAAACGACCCGUCUUGAAACACGGACCAAGGAGUCUAACAUGCCUGCGAGUAUUUGGGUGGAAAACCCAUGUGCGAAAUGAAAGUGAAAGUUGGGACCUCUGUCGUAGAGGGCACCGACGCCCGGACCAGACCUUCUGUGACGGAUCUGCGGUAGAGCAUGCAUGUUGGGACCCGAAAGAUGGUGAACUAUGCCUGAAUAGGGUGAAGCCAGAGGAAACUCUGGUGGAGGCUCGUAGCGAUUCUGACGUGCAAAUCGAUCGUCAAAUUUGGGUAUAGGGGCGAAAGACUAAUCGAACCAUCUAGUAGCUGGUUCCUGC